ensembl:lncRNA
UCACACGAUCGUGAAGGCAAGAAGCUGGAUAAUGGGCUCUCUUUUCAUCGUUUUUCAACCUGGAGGCAACGUGAGGGAUCCCAUGUAUCCGAUAUUACUAAACAAAGACGUCAGGCUUGCAUUGCAGCGGUGAGACGAGCGGAUCGAGUUCUGUGCAAUCCCAGCUUUUUGUUGGUUUGGUCUCUGCAUCUUCUUUCCGGCUUUUAUGCAGCUGCAGAGUCUGAAGGUGUGCCCCGUGCAGAAGUAAUCGAUGAAGAUCUGACAGAAGAACAACAACAAAAUUACAAUGUCAUAGCUGUGGACAGCAGUUGUGUUGGACAAGUGGAGGUUGAGGUACCACCUGUAAAUGUGGACAGUGGUGAUCGGACAGACAGCAUCACAGAAGCUAAAGGGCAGACGAAGCAUUGUGUGUGCAAUGAACAGGGCAGAGCAGAAAUAAACACAACACUGCUUGAUAAGAUUGUUAAGGUUUGCUGUGUUUUGGUGAAUAUGUGCCCCAGUGUGGUUGUCAAACCAGCGCCAAAUGAAACUUGCUCUUGUUGAGUAUUCAUAAAGCUGUUGUGUUGCAUGUGUAGUUCAUUGUAAAUAAUUGUACUUUGUGUGAAGUAGUUUCAAUAAAACAGAAAAGAAUAGUAGACAUGUUUUUUUUUUUUAUUCUUGAUCUUAUCACAUGUACUUAGCAAGUACAUAAAAAUGAAAUGCAAACUAUUUACAUGGCAACACACAGCUGGCAUCAAUCUUGAACCACAAAAUGAAACAUUACAGGCUAUUUAGAGCAGCACAUUGUUUGGAGAAGUAUUUCCCAACAAGUUCAGGAAGACACACUUUAAGAAAGAAGUCUUGUGCUUGCUUUAAACGUGGUUCCCAGAAAUCCACAUCAGGGAAGAUGCGUAUGACAGAAGGUCUCUCUGUGUCCACACAACGAGGUCACAGUGCAGUUUCAUUCAGUCGUUGUGAGUGCAGUACCUGAAACACACAAAAACCACUUUUAAUAAAAGGUCUGUAAUGAACCAAGGCUAAUAUAGAUGGGUUGGCUGUACGUGCAAAUCAAAAACUGUAACAAGGAAGUUGUUUAGAAAGUUAUCAUGGUUUUUGCAAUUUUUUGAAAGUACCGUCUCUUGGCGUCUGGGCGCAAUCGGUCGCGAUACAGCCCUUUGUCUGUGGAGUCAGCGCAUACACAGCAAACCAGUUUAAGAAUUAUGCUUAUUAUUAUUAAUAAGAACCUUCAGACUCUGCAGCUGCAUAAUAAAAGCCUGUAAGAUAAAAUUAGUGCACAUGACAGGUGUGUGAUUCAUCUGGAAGUUAUGUGCGGAUUAGUGUACAAUGAGAGCAAUUUAGUAUGUUUUUAGAGGCCCAUGAGCAGUGUUGGUGCCCAGUCUGGAUUUGUUACAUCCAUUUCAUAUGCUGGUUUGCCUGCAAUAAUGCUAAAUCAUAAGCUACUCAGUCGACAUGAUGACAUGACGUGGUUCUGCAGCAUCACACAUUAGCAUGUUUUAUCUCAUUAUCUAUGACCUCAGCACAUUGAAAAUAACACUAAAAGCAUUUUAAUAGUGAUAUGAAUUAAUUUAGAACUCACCGGAAAGAAGAUGCAGAGACCAAACCAACAAAAAGCUGGGGAUUGCACAGAACUCGAUCCGCUCGUCUCACCGCUGCAAUGCAAGCCUGACGUCUUUGUUUAGUAAUAUCGGAUACAUGGGAUCCCUCACGUUGCCUCCAGGAUGGAAAACAAUGAAAAGAGAGCCCAUUAUCCAGCUUCUUGCCUUCACGAUCGUGUGAUCAAACGUUGCAACUGAUAACACAACACGUACGAACCAUAGCUGAAGCUGAAUCCUGCGUCUAGCCUACUGUCAUGGCGGAAAGGGGGCGUGGCCCACCAAAGUCAAAGUCAAAGUCAACUUUAUUUGUCAAUUCUGCCAUAUGUACAGGACAUACAGAGAAUAGAAAUUUCGUUACUCUCAAACCCUAGAUGAACAUUUAAAUAUAAGAGAGUGAUUAAAAAUGCAAGUAAAAUAAUUAAAAUAAUUAAAAAAAGUAAAAUUUGAAUAAAUACAGUACAAUUUUACAUAUACCAAAAAAGCUAUACAAUAUACCAUAUACAAUAUUCAGGUAACGGUAAAUGACAUUGAGUGUAAACCAGGCAAGGUAGUGCAAAUAGGCAAAUAGUGCAAAUGGAGAUUUGGUAAUGUACGGUAGGAGAUAGUGUAACAACAAAGUCUUAUGAGGUAGUGGCAGUCCAAUGCUCCACAAGGUGACUAAUAACUGGUGCAGGCCAGUGAGUGAGUCAGAGAGUGUGUGUGUGUGUGUGUGUGUGUGACAGAGUUCAGUGAGACCGUGGAGGAGAGAGGGGAGAGGGGGCAGAAUCGGGAGGGAGUUAAGCUUCCUGACAGCCUGAUGGAUGAAGCUGUCCUUCAGUCUGCUGGUCCUGGCCUGGAGACUCCGCAGUCUCCUCCCUGACGGCAGCAGCUUGAAGAAGCUUUGCAUUGGGUGCGUGGGAUCAGCCGCUAUGCAGAGGGAUUUUUUAGUGAGACGGGUGCUGUAAAUGUCCUGGAGGGAGGGGAGAGAGACACCAAUGAUCCUCUCUGCAGCUCUCACUAUGCGUUGGAGGGUUCUAUGACAGGACGCAUUGCAGGCUCCAAACCACACAGUGAUGCAGCUCGACAGGAUGCUCUCGAUGG